UAAUGUUACAGCUUGUUUAGAAUUUGUCUAGCAGGCCUUCUGGUUUUUGCAGGAAACGUACCCCC
rfam:Papio anubis isolate 1X1155 chromosome 2, whole genome shotgun sequence.